UUUAUUGGAGAGUUUGAUCCUGGCUCAGGAUGAACGCUGGCGGCGUGCCUAAUACAUGCAAGUCGAGCGAAUGGAUUAAGAGCUUGCUCUUAUGAAGUUAGCGGCGGACGGGUGAGUAACACGUGGGUAACCUGCCCAUAAGACUGGGAUAACUCCGGGAAACCGGGGCUAAUACCGGAUAACAUUUUGAACCGCAUGGUUCGAAAUUGAAAGGCGGCUUCGGCUGUCACUUAUGGAUGGACCCGCGUCGCAUUAGCUAGUUGGUGAGGUACCGGCUCACCAAGGCCACGCUGCCUAACCGACCUGAGAGGGUGAUCGGCCACACUG
rnacentral:rRNA from 1 species